rnacentral:rRNA from 1 species
AUGUGGCUCGACAACUACUCGGUUACGCAUUAUCGUCCACACAAGGUGGUGAACUCGGACGUCAAUGUGCGCUACACGGUUGCAUGUGCAAGUGAAGAUGAAAUAUGUCCGUGGAUUGUGCGUGCAAGACCAUGGAAAGGAGGUCCAACUUGGCAUGUAGUGAGUUGUGUGCCAACUCACAUGUGCCAAGGCAAAAGGGUGGAUGGCAAGAUCGUGUCCCAAGACCACAAACAACUCACGUCCAAGUUCAUCGCUUACAGGCUCUCCAACUCAAUAUCCACACUUCCAACAAUGAGCGUCCAACAUGUCAUUGAUCUUGUGAAAGCCAUCUUUCAUUACAAGGUGAAGUACGGCAAGGCAUGGAAGGCGAAGCAAGCCGCAUUUAAGAUGUUGUAUGGUACUUGGGAGGAAGCAUACAACCGAAUCCCUAGGUUGUUGUUAGCCAUGGCCACAACAAACCCGGGCAUGGUUCAUGUGGUCGAGCCUCAUGGGCACCAAACAACGGUUCAUGAAGGAAGGAAAGUCCGAGUAUUUGGCCGUGCAUUUUGGGCGUUCGAGCAAUGCGUGAGGGCUUUCGAACACUGUAGGCCGGUCAUCGCCAUUGAUGGCACAUUCUUGACCGGACAACGACAUGUAGACUCAAGCAUAUGUCUUGACCGUGUCCUCAUUAGCAUCCUCAGGGCAAGUACCAAAGUGAAAUGUAAUCCACGUGAAAGGGGCACCGGCUGCGACUCUUUCCUUCUUCUUGCCUUCUACUUCUGGUUCCCGAGGCUCCGGAGGAACCAUACCGAUAAGGGCAUGCAUCUGCUCGCGCCACCCAUCAGAAUCGGUGCUCAUACAUAG